GUUGUAUGGUUAAGUGACUAAGCGUACACGGUGGAUGCCUGGGCAGUCAGAGGCGAUGAAGGACGUACUAACUUGCGAUAAGCGCAGAUAAGGCAGUAAGAGCCGUUUGAGUCUGCGAUUUCCGAAUGGGGAAACCCAACUGCAUAAGCAGUUACUGUUAACUGAAUACAUAGGUUAACAGAGCAAACCGGGGGAACUGAAACAUCUAAGUACCCCGAGGAGAAGAAAUCAACCGAGAUUCCGGUAGUAGCGGCGAGCGAACCUGGAUUAGCCCUUAAGCACUCGGUGAAGUAGGUGAACAAGCUGGAAAGCUUGGCGAUACAGGGUGAUAGCCCCGUAACCGACGCUUCAUCGAGCGUGAAAUCGAGUAGGGCGGGACACGUGAUAUCCUGUCUGAAUAUGGGGGGACCAUCCUCCAAGGCUAAAUACUCCUGACUGACCGAUAGUGAACCAGUACCGUGAGGGAAAGGCGAAAAGACCCCUGUGAGGGGAGUGAAAUAGAACCUGAAACCGUGUACGUACAAGCAGUAGGAGCACCUUCGUGGUGUGACUGCGUACCUUUUGUAUAAUGGGUCAGCGACUUAUAUUCAGUGGCAAGGUUAACCGUAUAGGGGAGCCGUAGCGAAAGCGAGUCUUAACUGGGCGCUCAGUCUCUGGAUAUAGACCCGAAACCGGGUGAUCUAGCCAUGGGCAGGUUGAAGGUUGAGUAACAUCAACUGGAGGACCGAACCGACUAAUGUUGAAAAAUUAGCGGAUGACUUGUGGCUAGGGGUGAAAGGCCAAUCAAACUCGGAGAUAGCUGGUUCUCCCCGAAAGCUAUUUAGGUAGCGCCUCGGACGAAUACUACUGGGGGUAGAGCACUGUUAAGGCUAGGGGGUCAUCCCGACUUACCAACCCUUUGCAAACUCCGAAUACCAGUAAGUACUAUCCGGGAGACACACGGCGGGUGCUAACGUCCGUCGUGGAGAGGGAAACAACCCAGACCGCCAGCUAAGGUCCCAAAGUAUUGCUAAGUGGGAAACGAUGUGGGAAGGCUCAGACAGCUAGGAUGUUGGCUUAGAAGCAGCCAUCAUUUAAAGAAAGCGUAAUAGCUCACUAGUCGAGUCGGCCUGCGCGGAAGAUGUAACGGGGCUAAGCAAUACACCGAAGCUGCGGCAAUGUCUUUUAGACAUUGGGUAGGGGAGCGUUCUGUAAGCCGUUGAAGGUGAAUCGUAAGGUUUGCUGGAGGUAUCAGAAGUGCGAAUGCUGACAUGAGUAACGACAAAGGGGGUGAAAAACCUCCUCGCCGGAAGACCAAGGGUUCCUGUCCAACGUUAAUCGGGGCAGGGUGAGUCGACCCCUAAGGUGAGGCCGAAAGGCGUAAUCGAUGGGAAACGGGUUAAUAUUCCCGUACUUCUGACUAUUGCGAUGGGGGGACGGAGAAGGCUAGGUGGGCCAGGCGACGGUUGUCCUGGUUCAAGUGCGUAGGCUUGAGAGUUAGGUAAAUCCGGCUCUCUCUAAGGCUGAGACACGACGUCGAGCUACUACGGUAGUGAAGUCAUUGAUGCCAUGCUUCCAGGAAAAGCCUCUAAGCUUCAGAUAGUCAGGAAUCGUACCCCAAACCGACACAGGUGGUCGGGUAGAGAAUACCAAGGCGCUUGAGAGAACUCGGGUGAAGGAACUAGGCAAAAUGGUACCGUAACUUCGGGAGAAGGUACGCUCUUGAUGGUGAAGUCCCUCGCGGAUGGAGCUGACGAGAGUCGCAGAUACCAGGUGGCUGCAACUGUUUAUUAAAAACACAGCACUGUGCAAAAUCGCAAGAUGACGUAUACGGUGUGACGCCUGCCCGGUGCCGGAAGGUUAAUUGAUGGGGUUAGCGCAAGCGAAGCUCUUGAUCGAAGCCCCGGUAAACGGCGGCCGUAACUAUAACGGUCCUAAGGUAGCGAAAUUCCUUGUCGGGUAAGUUCCGACCUGCACGAAUGGCGUAAUGAUGGCCACGCUGUCUCCACCCGAGACUCAGUGAAAUUGAAAUCGCUGUGAAGAUGCAGUGUACCCGCGGCUAGACGGAAAGACCCCGUGAACCUUUACUACAGCUUGGCACUGAACAUUGAACCUACAUGUGUAGGAUAGGUGGGAGGCUAUGAAGACGUGACGCCAGUUGCGUUGGAGCCGUCCUUGAAAUACCACCCUUGUAUGUUUGAUGUUCUAACUUAGACCCAUUAUCUGGGUUGAGGACAGUGCCUGGUGGGUAGUUUGACUGGGGCGGUCUCCUCCCAAAGAGUAACGGAGGAGCACGAAGGUGGGCUAAUCACGGUUGGACAUCGUGAGGUUAGUGCAAUGGCAUAAGCCCGCUUAACUGCGAGAAUGACGGUUCGAGCAGGUGCGAAAGCAGGUCAUAGUGAUCCGGUGGUUCUGUAUGGAAGGGCCAUCGCUCAACGGAUAAAAGGUACUCCGGGGAUAACAGGCUGAUACCGCCCAAGAGUUCAUAUCGACGGCGGUGUUUGGCACCUCGAUGUCGGCUCAUCACAUCCUGGGGCUGAAGUCGGUCCCAAGGGUAUGGCUGUUCGCCAUUUAAAGUGGUACGCGAGCUGGGUUUAGAACGUCGUGAGACAGUUCGGUCCCUAUCUGCCGUGGGCGUUGGAAGAUUGAAGGGGGCUGCUCCUAGUACGAGAGGACCGGAGUGGACGAACCUCUGGUGUUCGGGUUGUGUCGCCAGACGCAUUGCCCGGUAGCUAAGUUCGGAAUUGAUAAGCGCUGAAAGCAUCUAAGCGCGAAGCGAGCCCUGAGAUGAGUCUUCCCUGACAGUUUAACUGUCCUAAAGGGUUGUUCGAGACUAGAACGUUGAUAGGCAGGGUGUGUAAGCGUUGUGAGGCGUUGAGCUAACCUGUACUAAUUGCCCGUGAGGCUUAACCAUACAACACCCAAGGGGUUUUGUA
rnacentral:rRNA from 1 species